UACGAAGGGGGCUAGCGUUGCUCGGAAUCACUUGGCGUAAAGGGUGCGUAGGCGGGUCUUUAAGUCAGGGGUGAAAUCCUGGAGCUCAACUCCAGAACUGCCUUUGAUACUGAGGAUCUUGAGUUCGGGAGAGGUGAGUGGAACUGCGAGUGUAGAGGUGAAAUUCGUAGAUAUUCGCAAGAACACCAGUGGCGAAGGCGGCUCACUGGACCGAUACUGACGCUGAGGCACGAAAGCGUGGGGAGAAAACAGG
rnacentral:rRNA from 1 species